ACGGCCGUUACGUCUGUCUGUUGUGAUAACAAUUUACAGUGCCUCUCAUUUCUCGAACAGUGAUUAAUUAUCAAAUGAUUCUACAUUAUUUUCAAAGCUAAAUGUUAAAUUUUGCAAUUUUGAGUUACAAUUUUCAGCAACAAGCAGAAAAUACACUUUAAUAUAAUCAUUUCAUUUUAUGCCGCUCUGGAUGCUGUUGGCAGACAUGUGACUUUCUAUGUUGAUUAUGGUGUUUUGGCAAUCACGCAUGGUUCAGAAUUAGCGACUUUUGUAUAUGUGCUGUUCCUUUUUACCUCUAAAAGUUUCGUUAUUUCAUACCUGUGUUUGCUGUUUAGUGACCUUACAAACUGUGAUUGACUCUUACGAUUGAAUUUUAGAGCUUUCACCGCAUUUAUUAGUUUACUUCUUACCUCACGAAUUUAGGCCCUUCAUCAAGCAAUGAACUUGGGUAUGAGCGGCUUCGCGCGGCAGCCUUUAGCGGAGUCACCUCAAGCGAGCAUUUUUGCUAAUCCACUAGCCACAGGAAUGGAUCGGUUUCCGUAUCCUAAUUCAAUGCCAAACAUGAGCGCACCAUCAAUGCCAUGGGCCCAGAUACCACCUAUCAAUGUUCCUUGGGGAAUCCCCCCCAACAAUCUUCCAGAUGUCAUCAGAUUUAAUGCAACCCCAAACAUAAACACUUUUCAACCGAUUCCAAGACCGAUCGAAAAUGGUGGAUUUCCAAGAGUACGAUUUACCAAACGAAAGACAAACUUGGAGCCAGAAAUGUAA
rnacentral:lncRNA from 1 species